rnacentral:rRNA from 1 species
CCUAAAGGCGUAAUGAAAGUAAAGAUCGUCCUUGUGUCGAUUAAGGGAAGAUGGAUUACGUUACGAUGUAAUUCCGCAUUCCCGGGGCGUUUUAUUCUUAUUUUAUAAGAAAAGGCGCACCUAGAGCGUACACGUUGGGACCCGAAAGAUGGUGAACUAUGCCUGGUCAGGACGAAGUCAGGGGAAACCCUGAUGGAGGUCCGUAGCGAUUCUGACGUGCAAAUCGAUCGUCGGAACUGGGUAUAGGGGCGAAAGACUAAUCGAACCAUCUAGUAGCUGGUUCCCUCCGAAGUUUCCCUCAGGAUAGCUGGCACUUAAUUAAUCAAAUUAAUAAACGAGUCUCAUCUGGUAAAGCGAAUGAUUAGAGGCAUUGGGGCCGAAACGACCUCAACCUAUUCUCAAACUUUAAAUGGGUGAGAUCUCUGGCUUGCUUAAAUCAAUUAUAAUGAAGCCAUGAGAUUUCGGAUCAGAGUGCCAAGUGG